UACGUAGGGUCCGAGCGUUGUCCGGAAUUAUUGGGCGUAAAGGGCUCGUAGGCGGUUGGUCACGUCGGGAGUGAAAACUCAGGGCUCAACCCUGAGCGUGCUUCCGAUACGGGCCGACUAGAGGUAUGCAGGGGAGAACGGAAUUCCUGGUGUAGCGGUGGAAUGCGCAGAUAUCAGGAGGAACACCGGUGGCGAAGGCGGUUCUCUGGGCAUUAACUGACGCUGAGGAGCGAAAGCAUGGGGAGCGAACAGG
rnacentral:rRNA from 1 species